GCAGCACCCGGCCCGUCUCCCCCGAGGCUCCCAGCACGAAGCAGGAACCUCCGCCGCCCGGUGCCGCCAUGCUUAGGGGAGGUGUCGCUCUGCAGGCUGCGCUGCUGCUGCUGCUACUGCUGCUGCUGCUUUCCCCGCCUGCCCCGGCGCUCCGCCCUGCUGCGAUGGCUGCUGCGGAGCCAGGCCCUGAGCAGGCUUGCGAAGUGUCACCGGGAUGAUGAGGGACAGUUCGUCAUGCCAGCGGGGGUGGCAGCUGAACGUCCGCUGCCUCAGCCCGUGCUGCCCCUAUGCUGGGGUCAGCGCAGUGAGAACAGCCCUGCUCUGUGCACCCAGAGGGAGGUCACAGCAGGGGUACUCGGGGCGGUUUAUGACCUGUCGAGCCUCAGAGGCCUCGGGGCAGAGCUGUGUGAGGCAGCCGUGUCCCAGGCGCAGGCAGUGAGUCACCCCCAGGUGCUGCCUCCAGCUCAGUGGUGAUGCCAGCCCCAACCAGCCGUGCCUUUCCGGGCACAGGCAGCUUCCCAGGGCCGUGGGGCGCCCGGUCCCGUUUGUCCUGAUUCCUGGGGAGGGAGGCGUGCAGUCUGACCAGCUGCUUUUGGGAUCAGCCCAGCAAUUUUCCAUCCUGCUGAGCUCUCUCCUUGGUGAGGAGCGAGCCCGGAUCCCUGCAGCACGUGCCACAUGAGGGACGUGACGUGUCUCACCAGCGUCACCCGGAUAAUGGCCAGCAUCCCGCUCAGCCUGCCGGUCACUGCCUACACCCCAUCCAACACGCUGCACCCCACCACCACAGGCUGGCCCGGUGCUGGGCUGCCCGCAUUGCCUGCAGCAUGGAUGCACGGUGCCGGCGCAACGCAGCAUUCGACAGCACGGCCCAGCCUGCUGCCUGCUGCCCCGACUGGAUGGCAGCGCUGCCCGACUCCCUGCCUCUCUCCCGCCUCUCCAUCCCCGGCACGCACGACUCCCUCAGCCUGUUUGGCGGCCGGCGCCUGCGUUGCCAGAGCUGGGGCCUGGAGGCCCAGCUGGCGGCCGGCGUGCGCUUCCUGGACGUGCGCUGCAAGCUGGAGAGGGGCGAGCUGCGCGUCUACCACCUGUGUGCCUUCCAGCGGGUCAGCCUGCGGGGCGUCCUGCGUCGCACCCUGCGCUUCCUCCGCGCCCACCCCGGCGAGGCCGUGCUGAUGCGCAUCAAGGAGGAGCUGCCCAUCUUCCCGCGGCCCCGCUUCGCCGCACGGCUCCAGCGCUGCCUGCUGGAGGAGAGCCGGGGCCGGCUGUGGUGCCGGGAGGAGGUGCCCACGCUGGGCCAGGUGCGGGGCAAGAUCGUGGUGCUGGAGGCGCUGGAGAGGGAGGUGCUGGGCAUCCCCUACGAGCGGCUGAGCAUCAGCGAUGCGUGGAACGUGCUCUCGUUGGAGAGGAAAUGGGCACGAGCGCAGCGGCACCUGGACGCAGCAGCCAGCGGGGACCCCGCCACCAUGCACCUCACCUUCUGCUCCGGCAACGGGCUCUUCACCUGCCCCGAGGACGUGGCCCGAUUCGUCAACCCUCAGUGCUACCAGCACCUGCAGCGCUGCUCGGGGCAGCCGGUGUGCUGGGGAGUGGUCAUUUUGGACUUCCCCGGGGCAGGCCUGCUGCAGCUCAUCAUUGAGAGCAACGCCCCAGGGACACGUGGAGGUGUGCCAGAGGCCCCCAGCACCCCUCAGACAGCCCAGCGGCAGCGGGGACGAACGCUGCAGGCGGCACCGCUGGGGCCAGUGUCCCCCGUGCUGCGGGCAGCCUCACGUGUCAGCCGACAGACAUCGAUGCAGAAGGGUGCCCGGAGAUCCCGCGCGGCACUGAGACACCUCUAUGUGACAUCCGUGUGACAGCGGUGGGGCCGGCAGUCAGAGGUGAGCGGCCCUGAGCUGCCCCUGUGCGAGGCAUCCCUCCAGGAGCCAGGUGGAGCUCUUUUCUUUGCAGAGUCUCGCACCGAAAGACAGGACUUUGAGAGAGGAACCAACCAACCCUGAGACAAGCAGCAGGACCAGAAGGCAGGAAAGGCAUCUCCUCAGCUCUGCACCCAGAAGGCAGUGAGGAGAAGGGCGCUUUCCAGGGAGCUCAGGAGCAGAAAAGUAACCCAGGUGCCAGGGCUGAAAGCAUCAAAGCACUGCUGGCACUGAACACGAGAGGGCAGGAAGCACGAGGCAGGGCGCUCGCCUGAGGCUGGAAGGAGAGGAAAGCUCAGCCCUGAGCUGCCAAAAGGUGAAGAAUGAACACGCUCAAGGAUGCUUCUGCGCGCAGGAAAAUGGAGCUGGCCUUACUGCGUGGCCAGGGCUGCCUCCGGAUUUCCUGGCAGGAGGAUGGGACAUUGUUUGCUCCGUGGCGAUGGGACCGACCCGAGGCAGGGCUCUCACGGCUGAGUGCGUUCAUCCGCUUGUCUGCAUGGCUCUUUGCAGAGCCGCAUGGCUGCAGAGCCAGAUCUGCUGGGGAGAGAGCUGGACGGGCUGCACAGAGCCAGAGCGAGGGGAAGGAAAGAGGCAGAGGGGGGCAAAAACGUGCCAUGGGGAUGGGCAGCAGAAUCCGCCUCUGGGCUUGGCUUGCCCUCUUGAAAUAGGAAGACUGCAUUAAAGCAUUUAACCAGA